rnacentral:rRNA from 1 species
AUUGAACGCUGGCGGCAGGCCUAACACAUGCAAGUCGAGCGGAUGAAGGGAGCUUGCUCCUGGAUUCAGCGGCGGACGGGUGAGUAAUGCCUAGGAAUCUGCCUGGUAGUGGGGGAUAACGUCCGGAAACGGGCGCUAAUACCGCAUACGUCCUGAGGGAGAAAGUGGGGGAUCUUCGGACCUCACGCUAUCAGAUGAGCCUAGGUCGGAUUAGCUAGUUGGUGGGGUAAAGGCCUACCAAGGCGACGAUCCGUAACUGGUCUGAGAGGAUGAUCAGUCACCAUGGAACUGAGACACGGUCCAGACUCCUACGGGAGGCAGCAGUGGGGAAUAUUGGACAAUGGGCGAAAGCCUGAUCCAGCCAUGCCGCGUGUGUGAAGAAGGUCUUCGGAUUGUAAAGCACUUUAAGUUGGGAGGAAGGGCAGUAAGUUAAUACCUUGCUGUUUUGACGUUACCAACAGAAUAAGCACCGGCUAACUUCGUG